UACGAAGGGGGCUAGCGUUGUUCGGAAUUACUGGGCGUAAAGCGCACGUAGGCGGAUAUUUAAGUCAGGGGUGAAAUCCCGGGGCUCAACCCCGGAACUGCCUUUGAUACUGGGUAUCUGGAGGUCGAGAGAGGCGAGUGGAAUUCCGAGUGUAGAGGUGAAAUUCGUAGAUAUUCGGAGGAACACCAGUGGCGAAGGCGGCUCGCUGGCUCGAUACUGACGCUGAGGUGCGAAAGCGUGGGGAGCAAACAGG
rnacentral:rRNA from 1 species